rnacentral:rRNA from 1 species
UACGGGGGGGGGCAAGCGUUGUUCGGAAUUACUGGGCGUAAAGGGCUCGUAGGUGGCCAACUAAGUCAGACGUGAAAUCCCUCGGCUUAACCGGGGAACUGCGUCUGAUACUGGAUGGCUUGAGUUUGGGAGAGGGACGCGGAAUUCCAGGUGUAGCGGUGAAAUGCGUAGAUAUCGGGAGGAACACCAGUGGCGAAGGCGGCGAUCUGGGAAGAUACUGACGCUGAGGUGCGAAAGCGUGGGGAGCAAACAGG